AAACCAUUGUGAGGACAGUAUCGGACCAACCACUUAAACCUCGCCCAGGCAUCGUUGAGUGAUUCGUCCAUGUCUUGUUCAAAAUUUGUUAUGAGUUUCCUUCGUCU